AACGAACGCUGGCGGCAUGCCUAACACAUGCAAGUCGAACGAGACCUUCGGGUCUAGUGGCGCUCGGCUGCGUACCGCGUGGGAAUCUGCCCUUGGGUUCGGUGCCCCUGUUGGAAACGUCUGCUCAUACAGCUUGAUGUCGUAAGGCCAAAGAUCUAUUGCUCAGGGAUGAGCCCGCGUAGGUUUAGCCAGUUGGUGGGGUACUGGCAUGCCAAGGCGACGAUCCUUAGCUGGUCUGAGAGGAGGACCAGCCAGACUGGGACUGAGACACGGCCCAGACUGGUACGGGAGGGAGCAGUAGGGAAUAUUGGACGAUGGGCGAAAGCCUGAUCCAGCAAUGCCGCGUGAGUGAUGAAGGGGGUAGGAUUGUAAAGCUCUUUUAGCCGAGACGAUAAUGACGGUACCGGGAGAAUAAGCCCCGGCUAACUCUGUG
rnacentral:rRNA from 1 species